rnacentral:rRNA from 1 species
UACGUAGGGUGCAAGCGUUGUCCGGAAUUAUUGGGCGUAAAGAGCUCGUAGGCGGUCUGUCGCGUCUGCUGUGAAAACUCAGGGCUUAACCCUGAGCUUGCAGUGGGGUACGGGCGGACUAGAGUGAUGUAGGGGAGACUGGAAUUCCUGGUGUAGCGGUGAAAUGCGCAGAUAUCAGGAGGAACACCGGUGGCGAAGGCGGGCCUCUGGGCAGUAAACUGA